rnacentral:rRNA from 1 species
GACGUAGGGCGCGAGCGUUGUCCGGAUUUAUUGGGCGUAAAGAGCUCGUAGGCGGCUUGUCGCGUCGACUGUGAAAACCCGCGGCUCAACUGCGGGCCUGCAGCCGAUACGGGCAGGCUAGAGUUCGGUAGGGGAGACUGGAAUUCCCGGUGUAGUGGUGAAAUGCGUAGAUAUCGGGAGGAACACCAGUGGCGAAGGCGACUUCCUGGCCUGUUCUUGACGCUGAGGCGCGAAAGCUAGGGUAGCAAACGGG